rnacentral:misc_RNA from 1 species
UGAAGCAGAGAAUCCCACGUAAACCACGUCUGGGAGAAUGGAGAGGUCCAAGGAUUGUGAAAUGACGAGAUUUUUCAGUUGGUCUUCUGUUUUGUUGGACAUAGAAACGUAGAUGUAAAUGUUUUCCCCAUCAUAUUUUAUUAUCCCAUAAACAUCCCUGCCAGAUGUAAGAUUAACGCCAAAGCUCGAUAGUGGCUGUUGUGCAAUCGAGACAAUACUAUUCACAUUCAAGCCCACAUGGUUGCUAUCAAUAUCUUCUUGGAAGUUCUUCCUAGUAUCGAAUUCGAUUGCCACUAUAUUCGCCUCUGACGUUCCAUUUGUGAAGGGGGUUACAGUUCCCAGCCACUGUCCACUGCUGCCGAAGGGAGGAUCAGCAUUGGCGGUGAGUAUGAAGGCCAUCCCUU